UCCACCAUUUUCCCUCAAGAUAGAGCACAAACGUUUUAAGUAAAUGAACAGAAUGUCUGUAAUGGUGUUUCAAAAGUAAGGGAAUGUCCAUAUGAAACAAAAAUGGUUUGGCAAAUGGUGAUCCAAUUUCAGGGAAAAGGGGGAAACCUGUUGAGCCCUUCCACUAACAUGGUGACCAUCUUGGAUUCAACUCAACUUUUACAAACGGGAAGAGAAAUGACUCUAGGACAGAGUGGACUUGCACCUUUUUGGAAAUGUUUCUCUUCAUAAUGAAACAUCUAAACAAUGUUGAGUUCACAUUCACCAUGAAGACUAACAGUGGCUUUUGGACAAGGCUGAACCAGAUGUCAUCCCACCCCUGCUAGACGUGAUGGAAAGGGAACCAGUCUACACUAUCCAUUGGCUGCUGGACGCCCAGAGACGGAGGUGUCUUUUCCAGGGCUUGGUAGACUGGAAGGGAUAUUGCCAAGAGGAGCAGUGCUGGGUACCAGCAAAGGAUGUCCAGCCCUCAUAGCGGAAUUUCACAGUCAGCACCCAGACAAGCCUGCUCCUCGUCCUAGAGGCCACCUGAGAUAGGGCCUCUCCCUGCUCGUUUGAGUUGUCUGCAUAAACUGAUGGGGGGCCUACUGUCAUGCAUCCUCUGAGAUCUGAGAAUCCUCGUUGUAUUCGGACUUGACCUCCCAGAAUCCUCUGGGAGAUCACAUGACUUCCACGCAGCCAAAAAACAAUGAUACUCACCUGGACUCAAAUGACACAUCACAUUUUUUUGCUCUCCUAUCAGCGCUCUCGCUCUCUUGAAUACUAAUGUGUGUCACCUGUGUUGUAGACCAUAUGACAAACAUAGUUUAGUAUAUAAGCCCGGGCUUUAGGUUAGGGAAGUUGUGAGGUAUUGAAUCCAAUCUGUGAUCUACUGAGCAUCUAUUCUGGUAUAUGUUUCUCAGGUAUGACCUUUGCCCUUUUUGCCCAACCCUUCGGAUUGUUUACCUGGUUGCUGUUUUUCGGACUUUGACGAUCUGCUUGUAUGUCUGACUACAUUUUUGCCUUUCCCUUUUCGGACUAUUCGCCUGGUGGUGUGAUUGUGAUUUUGUCUUUCUUAUGCUUUCUCGAACUGACCCAUGCCUGUUUUGUGACAAUGACCUUGGAUUGUGAUUCUAUAAGUAAAGCCUCGUUUGUCUUUUA